rnacentral:lncRNA from 1 species
AACAAGAAAACUCCCCUUUUCCCUCUCUCCUAUUUUUUAUUCUUUCUUUUCACAAAACAGAGCCAUCUCCCCUGUUUGAUUUUCUUUUUGAUUUUCUUUCUUCUCUCCCAAACCGAGCCCUCUCCCCUGUUCUUCUCUUUUCUGUGGACCCGCCGGCCCCCUUCUUCUUCCUUCUUUUCAACAGCCGAGCACCACCUCCUUUUAUAGCUCGCCCCCACCUUGAAGCCGGCUUGAGAAUCAAAACGGUGGCGGGAUCACGGACGCGUCAUGGACAACGGACGAGGCUGAAAUGUCGGGAUUAGCAUCCGCAUCAUGGGCGGAAGCAGAGGCAGAGGGGGGUCUUGAAUCCGGAAGGGAGAAGCGGGGAUUUCUCGGAGGAAGGCGUGGAAGCUUGAUCCGUGGCGUGUGGGGGAGAAUCACGGGCGGACAUCUCGAAUGGCCGGAUCCUUGGACGCGGACGCGGGAGCUUGAUCCGUGGAGGG